rnacentral:lncRNA from 1 species
CCCAGGGCCACUUAGGGUGCGUCCACGCUAGGUGUGCCAGGCAUGCACGUGGGCUGCAGACGCCCAGGAGGCAGAGCCGAGCCUGCCAAGGUUAUGCGUGCACCUCUCAGCUCCCUGCUUAACACUGCAUUCCCGGGAGAGAGAUUUCUCCCUGGCUGCUUCCCAUCCAGAGGAGAACAUCAGCUCUCAGCAGAAAAUAAGGCCCUCUCCACCUGCCAGCUGGGCAACAGCAGUUACUCUCAUUGGAGACCCUUUCCCUUCGCCGCUUCCCAGGCUACUCCAGACUGAAUGCAUUCACCUCCCAGGUCAAAACCUGCUGUGAUACCAUCACCCUGCACACAGACCACAGUCCCAAGCCUCCCAUUCUUGACUCUAACACCAGCCUA